GGUUAAGCGACUAAGCGUACACGGUGGAUGCCCUGGCAGUCAGAGGCGAUGAAGGACGUGCUAAUCUGCGAUAAGCGCCGGUAAGGUGAUAUGAACCGUUAUAACCGGCGAUUUCCGAAUGGGGAAACCCAGUGUGACUCGUCACACUAUCAUUAACUGAAUCCAUAGGUUAAUGAGGCGAACCGGGGGAACUGAAACAUCUAAGUACCCCGAGGAAAAGAAAUCAACCGAGAUUCCCCCAGUAGCGGCGAGCGAACGGGGAGGAGCCCAGAGCCUGAAUCAGCAUGUGUGUUAGUGGAAGCGUCUGGAAAGGCGCGCGAUACAGGGUGACAGCCCCGUACACAAAAGCGCAUGUGCUGUGAGGCUGUGAG
rnacentral:rRNA from 1 species